rnacentral:tRNA from 1 species
GGCCGGAUAGCUCAGUUGGUAGAGCAGAGGACUGAAAAUCCUUGUGUCGUCGGUUCGAUUCCGACUCCGGCCACCA